rnacentral:rRNA from 1 species
GACGAACGCUGGCGGCGUGCUUAACACAUGCAAGUCGUACGGUAAGGCCCUUUCGGGGGUACACGAGUGGCGAACGGGUGAGUAACACGUGAGUAACCUGCCCACAACUUUGGGAUAACGCUAGGAAACUGGUGCUAAUACUGGAUAUGUGCUCCUGCUGCAUGGUGGGGGUUGGAAAGCUCCGGCGGUUGUGGAUGGACUCGCGGCCUAUCAGCUUGUUGGUGGGGUAGUGGCCUACCAAGGCGGCGACGGGUAGCCGGCCUGAGAGGGUGACCGGCCACAGUGGGACUGAGAGACGGCCCAGACUCCUACGGGAGGCAGCAGUGGGGAAUAUUGCACAAUGGGCGCAAGCCUGAUGCAGCAACGCCGCGUGCGGGAUGACGGCCUUCGGGUUGGAAACCGCUUUCAGCAGGGACGAAGCUUUUUGUGACGGUACCUGCAGAAGAAGCACCGGCUAACUACGUG